rnacentral:tRNA from 1 species
UGGGGUGUGGCUUAAGUGGAAGAGCAUUUGCCUAGCAAGUAUAAGACCCUGGGUUCAAAUCUUAGUACCAAAA